GUUGUUUACGUUUACUGUUUACGGCUUGCCGUAAUUUGCUGGAAUAAACCAGAAAUUAGGUUUUAUACAUAAAAUAUUGUUCCAGAAUGAUUCUUUGAAUAGUUGGGGAGUAUUUUUUAAAAAACCUAAAUUUUAUCAUGAAACACUAAAACAUUUUGUUUAGGUGUAUGAAGAGGACUUAUAUUGAGAGAAAAAAAUGACUUGGAAACCCCUGUCUUUUUAUGAAUUUCCACCAUCUAAUGAUUUGGUACUAACAUUUAUCAAAAGGUUACUUGACCCCAAGGCUGAUAGACUUGGGAAUUGGAAAACCACUGCCUUCGAAGCAGAUUUUGAUUCGACUGUUGAUGUCGAUGAAGAUAAGUUCCAGGUCAAUCUUAACGUUUAACAACACUUCUAACCUGAAGAAAUAUCUGUAAAAGUGACUGGAGAAGAUGAAGAGAAAAAUGUUGAAUAUGGUCAAAUUUUCAGACAUUUCAUUAGGCACUAUGCCUUAACUAUGAACGUUUUGAUCCCAAUAAAGAACAGCCAAAGAAAAUGUAGAAAUAUUCCGAUCAUCCAAACAGAAGAACCUGCUUGUAAGAAAAGAAAAUGUGAGGCCUCCUAAUUUUUUAAUAUUAGGGAGUGAUCAAUUUUUUGUUGUGUUUUCCAUUGGUAAAACUCAUGUCACUGCUAAAACCACAGAAUAUUUAAACCUAACAGUACAACCAGCACCAGCUCUUUGAGGUGGAUUGGCUUCAGUGCUUGGUAAAAUGGCAUGAAAAUACAAUAUCAUCUUCAUCUUGUAGUGAAGUAAUUGAAAUAGUAGCUUCAAUACCCGUGGAACAAGAUAAACAAUUUCAACACAUUAUAAUAAGUUUGUCAUGAUGAAACAAGCUGGACUGAAGUAAAAAAUCAUAGGUAAUUUUUUUUUUCAAUAUUAGCGAAAUUUCAGGAAGAAGCACCUUUCGUGAUGAUUGAUGAAUUCAAGUAUAGCAUAUUCUUUUCGAAAAAUCUAACUCACAGUGAAUAGACCUUCAACUUUAGUAACCUCACACAUAAAUGAUUUCUAUUGUCUUGCAUUUGAAUAAGACACUUUUCUAUUUGAAACUAAUUGAUACAGUUUAUUGAAUAGCUUCCUCAAGCGCUUAAGGAAGCUAUUGUAUAGCAAAACACGUAUGGCGGUUUUUGUAAUAAUAAUAAUAGCUUUAUUGUCCAACAGUUACCCAUUUACAGGACAAUAUAAAAUUUUAUUCACAAUACUUAACUAUAAAUGAAAAAUAAAAUGAACAAAAAAGAAAAACUAAUUCUAAUUACCUACUUCAAGUACAUGUUAGCAAUUAAUUAAUAAUGUUAUGAUGGUUAGUGAAGAAUAAAUCACCAUGGGUACAAAUGCUAUUGAAAUUUGUGCACAUAACAUAUAUUGGGGAAUUGAGCGUAAUGUUAGUUCUUGCUCUGAGAGGUCUAAAAAUGGAUUUAGAUUGUGAAGCUGGCCGUGGUACAUUGAAGUUAAUUUGUUCAAGAAUUUUAGACAGUCAACUCUCUCAUUCACUAACUUGAAAAAAUAUG